AACGAACGCUGGCGGCAUGCCUAACACAUGCAAGUCGAACGAGACCUUCGGGUCUAGUGGCGCACGGGUGCGUAACGCGUGGGAACCUGCCCUUAGGUUCGGAAUAACUCCCCGAAAGGGGUGCUAAUACCGGAUAAUGUCUUCGGACCAAAGAUUUAUCGCCUUUGGAUGGGCCCGCGUUGGAUUAGCUAGUUGGUAGGGUAAAAGCCUACCAAGGCGACGAUCCAUAGCUGGUCUGAGAGGAUGAUCUGCCACACUGGGACUGAGACACGGCCCUGACUCCUACGGGAGGCAGCAGUGGGGAAUAUUGGACAAUGGGCGAAAGCCUGAUCCAGCAAUGCCGCGUGAGUGAUGAAGGCCUUAGGGUUGUAAAGCUCUUUUACCCGGGAUGAUAAUGACAGUACCGGGAGAAUAAGCUCCGGCUAACUCCGUG
rnacentral:rRNA from 1 species